UGGGGAAUAUUGCACAAUGGAGGGAACUCUGAUGCAGCGACGCCGCGUGAGUGAUGAAGGAAUUCGUUUCGUAAAACUCUGUUCUAUGGGAAGAAAAGGACUGUACCAUAGGAGAAAGCUCCGGCUAAAUACGUGCCAGCAGCCGCGGUAAUACGUAUGGAGCGAGCGUUGUCCGGAAUUAUUGGGCGUAAAGGGUGCGCAGGCGGCUUUACAAGUUGGAUGUGAAAUAUUGUGGCUCAACCACAAACGUGCAUCCAAAACUGCAAAGCUUGAGUUAAGGAGAGGUAAGUGGAAUUCCUGGUGUAGCGGUGGAAUGCGUAGAUAUCAGGCGGAAUACCGGUGGCGAAGGCGACUUACUGGACUUAAACUGACGCUCAGGCACGAAAGCGUGGGGAGCAAACAGG
rnacentral:rRNA from 1 species